CUUGAUGCCGGUUGCACCUGCUACAUAGAUAUGCCGAUAGAUAGCAUACAGAUGUAGUUGGAUAGGAAAGAAUGUGUACUUUCAUCCAGGUGACAUGCUAAGCUAUGCAUUGUAUAAAUUACAGCUCAACCAGAUGACAUUAAACAGCUA